AGAUGGUUGAGACCAUGUUCCUUCGGCCGAAUGACCCUGAGCACAAUCGUCCACUAAUUGAUUCGUAUGCAAGUACGCAUGCUCGUCCUAGCGUCGACCCACUGGAACAACCAGAGUACCGUGACCUCACUGAUGAAGAGUGGGAGAUAUACAACAAGAUCAUGGAUGAGAGUGAGGAAUGUUUAAUAUGCGCUCAUAGUUUUUAAUGUUUUUAGAUAUGUAUGUUUGUCGUUGUUCUUACGUUAUAAUCUUAUGUGUGCAGGGAUUUGAUGCUUGGCAGUGUCCUGAAAAUUUAACGGAGAAUGGUUUAAUCAAAACACUUUUAGUUUCUAAAGAGGAGUUGCCAGAUGAUUAUGAGAAGUUCAACCAACUGUCACAGUUCGCUCUUGACCAAUACAACGACCAGCAGGUGUUUCCUUGUGUGUGUGUGUGUGUGUGUGUGUGAGAGAGAGAGAGAGAGAGAGAGAGAGAGAAUUCUCUAUCUCAUCCUCUUUUGUUGGUUUUUCCUUCUCUUUACUGGGUUUAACUUCUUGCUUCUGUUCCAGGGAACAAAUUUUCAAUUUGUCAAGGUCCUUAAGGCAAAUGUGGAAUUUUCUGGAAGUUGUAUUUACUAACUCACCUUUCAGGCUGAGGAUACAGCUAGUGGUGCUUUUGAGAAUUUCCAAGCACGAGUGAUUCUUCAUUACACAAUAGAGAGAAAAGUUGACCUUGUCAAGCUUGAGCCAAAAAAAUCCCAACCUGUUGAAGAAAGUGGAAAAGGAACUAGCGUUGAUCCAAUCAGCCCCAGUGAAAGCAAACGCACUUGCUUUUCUUCAACUGAUGUGCCACUGAAGAGUUGCUUAUGAGUUCACUGGGCUUCAAAUCCCAUCUUCAGCAUGGUGAAUUAAUGCGCGUCUCUUUUAGCUAUACUCCUAAUAUGGACUGUUUUAUGGACUGAUUAUUCAAAAAGGCAGUUUUCAGCCAUGCUUUCAUAAGGGUGUUCCACCGCAUAUAGACAAUUAUGUGCCAGUGCUUUUCUUCGAGUUCAGGCUAACAGAAACCCAAGGGGGGCAGGAAGAUGAUCGGUAACACUUCCCCACCGGAAGCAUAAAUGAAAUGGUCGAGAUCUGACUGUUGUAUACACGUCGUGAAACCCAUAUUCCUUACUACUACACCUUCAAACAGGAUUCAAGUAAAGAAAGGUACUGUAUUCUUGUACUUUUGUUCAUAAGCUGAGGAAAUUUUGUAGAGGUACCGAAUUUUAUCUUCAAUGAGGCAUGCACCAGCUAAAAGUACAGUUUUGAUUUGGUACUGCUCAUGUAUUGUCAUGUAUGAGAUUUUGAUGGCUUUGCUGUUAUUCUUUGGAUAAUUUGAAUGCCUCUA